GGUGCUUGCAUCUUGAUUUAAUUUUGAACGAGUGGCGGACGGGUGAGUAACACGUGGGUAACCUGCCCUUAAGUGGGGGAUAACAUUUGGAAACAGAUGCUAAUACCGCAUAAAUCCAAGAACCGCAUGGUUCUUGGCUGAAAGAUGGCGUAAGCUAUCGCUUUUGGAUGGACCCGCGGCGUAUUAGCUAGUUGGUGAGGUAACGGCUCACCAAGGCAAUGAUACGUAGCCGAACUGAGAGGUUGAUCGGCCACAUUGGGACUGAGACACGGCCCAAACUCCUACGGGAGGCAGCAGUAGGGAAUCUUCCACAAUGGACGCAAGUCUGAUGGAGCAACGCCGCGUGAGUGAAGAAGGCUUUCGGGUCGUAAAACUCUGUUGUUGGAGAAGAAUGGUCGGCAGAGUAACUGUUGUCGGCGUGACGGUAUCCAACCAGAAAGCCACGGCUAACUACGUGCCAGCAGCCGCGGUAAUACGUAGGUGGCAAGCGUUAUCCGGAUUUAUUGGGCGUAAAGCGAGCGCAGGCGGUUUUUUAAGUCUGAUGUGAAAGCCCUCGGCUUAACCGAGGAAGUGCAUCGGAAACUGGGAAACUUGAGUGCAGAAGAGGACAGUGGAACUCCAUGUGUAGCGGUGAAAUGCGUAGAUAUAUGGAAGAACACCAGUGGCGAAGGCGGCUGUCUGGUCUGUAACUGACGCUGAGGCUCGAAAGCAUGGGUAGCGAACAGGAUUAGAUACCCUGGUAGUCCAUGCCGUAAACGAUGAAUGCUAGGUGUUGGAGGGUUUCCGCCCUUCAGUGCCGCAGCUAACGCAUUAAGCAUUCCGCCUGGGGAGUACGACCGCAAGGUUGAAACUCAAAGGAAUUGACGGGGGCCCGCACAAGCGGUGGAGCAUGUGGUUUAAUUCGAAGCAACGCGAAGAACCUUACCAGGUCUUGACAUCUUUUGAUCACCUGAGAGAUCAGGUUUCCCCUUCGGGGGCAAAAUGACAGGUGGUGCAUGGUUGUCGUCAGCUCGUGUCGUGAGAUGUUGGGUUAAGUCCCGCAACGAGCGCAACCCUUAUGACUAGUUGCCAGCAUUUAGUUGGGCACUCUAGUAAGACUGCCGGUGACAAACCGGAGGAAGGUGGGGAUGACGUCAAAUCAUCAUGCCCCUUAUGACCUGGGCUACACACGUGCUACAAUGGAUGGUACAACGAGUUGCGAGACCGCGAGGUCAAGCUAAUCUCUUAAAGCCAUUCUCAGUUCGGACUGUAGGCUGCAACUCGCCUACACGAAGUCGGAAUCGCUAGUAAUCGCGGAUCAGCACGCCGCGGUGAAUACGUUCCCGGGCCUUGUACACACCGCCCGUCACACCAUGAGAGUUUGUAACACCCGAAGCCGGUGGCGUAACCCUUUUAGGGAGCGAGCCGUCUAAGGUGGGACAAAUGAUUAGGGUGAAGUCGUAACAAGGUAGCCGUAGGAGAACCUGCGGCUGGAUCACCUCCUUUCUAAGGAA
rnacentral:rRNA from 2 species